rnacentral:tRNA from 1 species
GCGGGUCUGGAUCGCGCGGAUCAUGAUCACCUGGGGGGUGAUCUCGGGCGCGUUCAUGUUCGUGAACUCGGC